AAACAUCUGACAUUUGUUUUUAAUAAAAAAAUGAAUCAAAAUCUCUACCGCUGGAUUGCUGUCCUCUUUCUUUUUACAACAAACUCGAAUCUAGGUGUAAAACUCUAGUUCUCUCUCUCUCUCUCUCUCUCUCUCACGCACACACAAAAUCGCACACCCACCCAAUUGCCUCUUUAUCUCUCUUUCUUCCUCUCACCCAAUCGCACAAGUGCACCAUUGCAGAUCGCAGUUUCUGUUGCGGACUGAUUUCCAUUGCUGCCUUCCGCUGAUUGCUUUAUUUCACUUUUAGGAGGUAUCGUGAAGUAUCUAAAAGAGAGGACCUUGUUCAGACGACAAUGACGCUGAUUUAGGUUAAAUCAGAUGUAUGAACUGCUCAGUGAACUUGGAAUUUGUCUCCAAGUCAACUUGAUGGGGUGUUGGAAGAAAAUCUUGAUUGGGAGGAUAUCAAGUGGUCACAAACUGGUGUUUUCAUAGCUGGACAGGAGUAUCCUCUUGCUCGGGUGCAUUUCUUAUCAUCAUAACUAGCUGAAGCUCUUCUCCAGUAAAUUUCCAGUACCCAAUAUAUGUAAGAAUAAUAAUACUCUAAAUUUAUAUAUGGAGAGGGUUGUUUUUUGCUAAAUAAUGCUGAAUAUUAAAUUAUAUUAGAGUCAGACUUGUGUAAUUUAGUAGGUGUUUAAAAUUUUAACAAUUAUCUGUAUUGAUUUUGUGAAAUAGAUAUAUAAUGGUAUUUGAACUGUUUGAUGUACACCAGCUUCAACUUAUUGGCUUUAUUUUAUUUUAUGCUUCCCUAACCAUUUGUUGAGAGUUGAAGCCAACAUUAUUUUUGCUUAUACAAAUAACCGAACUUGGUUUAUUCCUUGUUA